rnacentral:lncRNA from 1 species
AGAUCAAUUUUAUAGGUAUUAGCUCCUUCACUAAGGAACUCCUUUUCUAAAAAAACUAUCCGACUGCUGACAAAUACCUUUUGUUCUGCAGUGAGAUAGAAAUAGUAUCAUUUAAUUUUCUUUAGGUAUCCUAUGAACAAGCAUCUAUCGGACUUCGGUCUAAGCUUUUCUAUCUUUAAAUGCUUGAUAUAAGCUGGACACCCCCAGACCCUA